rnacentral:lncRNA from 1 species
AUUGGUUCUAUAUGUGAUCGGGUUGGUAACACGACUUGGAUUUCUCACCCUCGGGGGUCGUGAUGGCUCCUACUAAUAGGAGCUAGGCAUGCCAAACUUAAUAACUUUCAUUAACAACAUAAUCCUUUAAAUAAUUAUUAGCAUUAAAAUAAAAGCAAUGGAAUUAAAGUCAUAAGUGGAAGUCUUAAUUAUAGAAAACUGGAUAGAAAUGCGAAAAACUUCAACAUAAGCUUUUACCCAAGACUGGCGUCACAAUACUUACGAACAUCUAAGAAUACUAAAUACAAUAUCUGAUAGAAAUACAUAUGUUUGUCUCGAAUAUAAUGAGAUAACAAUCUAAAGUAAAGGAUAGAGGAGACGCCAGGCUUGCGGACGCCUGCAAGGCUACCUCGGUGUCUCGCUGGACUGAAGGCAUGCUCCCACGCUAUUGCUGGUGUUGUCCAAAACAUGAAUCUGUGCAGAAUAGCACAGUGUAGUAUCAUCAUAACUGACCCCAUGUGAUGGCAAGUGCCCAGCCUAACUUCGGGGAAGUAGUGACGAGGCUAGGAUCAGACUACCAAGUAAACAUGUGCAGAUAUAUAGUAUAUUGUAGAAAAUAAACAAGUAAUGAGCAGUUAUAAGGGAGGGGGUACAUGCCUCGAGGAAACUGUCCAACUUAGCAGAAAUUGAAUAACAUAUGAAGGAACAGUACAAUGUCUAAAACCAUAUGAUAGCACUGUUGUUGCGGCGCGCAACCGAUCCGUACUUUUAACUAUAACUGUUGCGGCAUGCAACCUGACCCAAUAAGUAUAACAUAUACCUGUUGUGGCGUGCAACAUGAUCCAUUCUAAUUUACAUUGCGAUGUGCAACCCGAUCCACUACAGCGUAUAUGCGGCGUGCAACCCGUUCCAAAAUACAUAAAUUAACAUAACCACAACCACAAACCUCGGUAGGGAAUCAAUCAUAGAAUACCCUAUCCCGGCAAGGGAACUCAACAGUACAAGUAUACUUAUCCCGGCAAGAGAGAAAAUCUACAAACAACAAAAUAUCUCGGCAAGGGGAUAAACCAAUAUCUCUUUCUCUUUCUUUCAUUUUCAUCUCAUAAUUCACAUUAUCACCUG